CCUACGGGAGGCAGCAGUGGGGAAUAUUGGGCAAUGGAGGCAACUCUGACCCAGCAACGCCGCGUGAAUGAUGAAGGUCCUCGGAUUGUAAAGUUCUUUUCUAAGGGACGAAGAAAGUGACGGUACCUUAGGAAUAAGCCUCGGCUAACUACGUGCCAGCAGCCGCGGUAAUACGUAGGAGGCAAGCGUUAUCCGGAAUGACUGGGCGUAAAGGGUGCGUAGGUGGUUUGGCAAGUUAGUAGCGCAACUCCGGGGCUCAACUUCGGAACUACUACUAAAACUGUUGGACUUGAGUGCAGGAGGGGCAAUCGGAAUUCCGGGUGUAGCGGUGGAAUGCGUAGAUAUUAGGAGGAACACCAGUGGCGAAGGCGGAUUGCUGGACUUUAACUGACACUGAGGCACGAAAGCGUGGGGAGCAAACAGGAUUAGAUACCCGGGUAGUC
rnacentral:rRNA from 1 species